AGCUGGCGCUACAGUACAGCGCAGAGUACUGACAGACAGACACUUAACACAGGUCAGGGCACCUUGCGCGCACAACUGCUGUAUGUACGCGUAAUGGCGCGUUUGUGUCCUCUCACUUUAUCUUCAAGCGUCUCCAACAAACGCAGUUAAAGGAUUUGUUUGGACUGCGCGUCAGAGGGUCGCACAACAACAUCAGAACACCUGAGAUCUGAUGCUACCUGCCAUCACCAUGGAAACAGAGGCCAGUCACAUGCUCGAGGCGGCACUGGAGCAGAUGGACGACAUCAUUGCAGGUUCAAAAGCAGCAGCGAUGGAGUUCUCUAACAGCAUGUAUGACCUGGGUUCCCCCGUCAGCGCUGGACCGCUUCAGGUCCUUCAGUUAGCUGAGGACCUCAAACUUUCCUUGGAGCUUCAAUCCACCCAGGAGGAGCGAAACAGCCUCCGAGCACAGCUGCCUGCAGAGACCGCACAGGCUCUUGUAGACUGGCUGCAGAGUGGAGCUGUGAACCUGUGUUCUCCAGCCAACAAUGAAACUUACCAAGAACGACUGCUUCGCCUAGAGGGAGACAAGGAGUCUCUGGUGCUACAGGUGAGCGUUCUGACCGACCAGGUGGAGGCCCAGGGAGAGAAGAUCAGAGACCUAGAAAGUUCUUUGGAGGAACACCGCCAGAAACUGGCCUCCACUGAAGAAAUGCUCCAACAGGAGCUGAUGAGCAGGACCUCGCUAGAAACUCAGAAGCUGGAUCUGAUGGAUGAGGUGUCCUUUCUCAAACUGAAGCUGGUCAGCAUGGAGGAGACGCAAACCAACUCACACCCGCAGGAUUCGACAGACACAAAGCAGAACAAAGCUGAGUGUGUGGUAAAUCUCAUCAGUGAGCUCCAGGAGCAGAUGUGCAGGUUUCAGGAGGAGAUCAGCACUCGCAUUCAGGAGAAACGGGCCCUGGAGGAGAAGGAGGCCCAGCAGGGGGAGCCAAGAGACGGCCAAGCCCAGGGCUACAGCCCUCAAGUUGGGUUGGUCAGCUUGGACCUGAGCCUGUCUGGCUCUGAUGCCCGGCAGCACAAUGGAGGAAAGACUGUUCACGAUUUGCAACAAGAAGUUAAGCAGCUGAAGAGCAAAGUGGAUGAGUUGGAGGGAGAGAAGAGCCAGUAUGAGAGGAAAUUAAGAGCCACCAAGCUCUCUAUCUCUUACUCUCUCCAUGUGUGUUACCAGUCGCUCAUGACCCAGCUGUCCAGCCUCAAGCUGACUGUCGAGCACACACAGCUGGAGAAGCAGCAUUGGGAGGAGCGCUGGCGCAGCGCACAGGCAGAAAUUUCAGAGCUGCAGCAGCUCCUGGCCUCCAAAGACGCUGAGAUCGAGUGCCUACAGACCCAGCUGCUGGCCAGAGGCGGCAGCGCCAAUGACAACGCAGAGAGAGAGGAGGUGUAUAUCAAGCAUCUGAUUAACAAAUACCAGGAAUACCAGAGGUUAAAGGUGGGGAUGGAGUCUUUGUUGGCUUCAAAUGACGAAAAGGAUCGGCGUAUAGAGGAGCUUACCAUUCUGCUCAGCCAAUACAGAAAGAUGAGGGAGGUCAUGGCACUCACACAGGGAAGCAGCGAAGAGGAGCUGAGUGGUAGUUUAAAGCUCAAAGCCAUCACUCACAAAGCACACUCUGACAUCCUCAGAUCAGAGCUGUCAUCAAGAGGAUCGUCACCACAUAUGCUGUCCACAUCCCCGUAUCAGAGGGAUUUGGAUUCCAGUUUCCAGAACUCUGUGGAGACAUCGCUGGUGUCCGCUGCUGACCCAAGUUUGUUUAAUGGAUCGUGGCAUCGGUGCCGGUUGAUGUCCAGCAGUCUUGAGGAGUUGCAGAGUGGAUCUUUACAAAAGGCUGUAGAGAUCCAGCCACUUGAAACUGAAUCAGAUGUAGGGGCCGAGAAUCCCCACAUGGAGCUGAACAAGUACCAAACUCUGCCGGGAAAACUGAGUAAAAAGAACGAGCCGGGGGCCGAGCUGAACGGCGACAGAGACGACGAGUAUUUAUCUCCCGUCCAGCUCUCGCCUGUCCACGGCCACAGCCAGGACUACAGUCUGAUUCGCUGCAGGAGUGCCAGUGCUCCGGUUUUAGGAUCUCCUGGAAAACAUGACCUCUAUGAUGUUGAGCAUUCAGAGAAGCUGGAGGAGUGCUUUCCGUCAGACCAGUCCCCACUGUCCUCUGGAGUGGACUCUGGACAGCAGUCUCCUGUCUCACCAGAGAACAGAAAGGGUCACAGAGGAAUUAGGAAACUCUGGGGGAAGAUCCGUCGCAGUCAGUCGGGUAGUCCUGUCCAAGUUCAUGACCCAGAGCUAGGAGACUUCAAGAGGGGAGGAUUCAGAGCUACAGCUGGACCUCGAUUGGCCCAUUCAGGGAAAACACGAGAUCUGAAGACGCCAUUUUCUAAGUGGAACACAGAGCAGGUGUGUGACUGGAUUGAAGACAUUGGACUAGGUCAGUACAGCAUCCUUGCUCGCCAAUGGGUCACCAGCGGUCAGACUCUGCUAUCAGCCACGCCACAAGACCUAGAGAAGGAGAUGGCCAUGAAGAAUCCACUCCACAGAAAGAAGCUUCAGUUGUCCAUCAAGGCGAUCAGUAGCAAACAGCCUGAAAAAUCUGCAGAGCUUGAUUACCUCUGGGUUACCCGUUGGCUUGAUGAUAUUGGCCUUCCUCAGUACAAAGACCAAUUUAAUGAAGGAAGAGUGGAUGGGCAGAUGCUGCAGUAUCUCACUGUGAACGACUUAUUAUUCCUUAAAGUGACCAGCCAGCUGCACCACCUCAGCAUCAAGUGUGCCAUUCAUGUUCUCCAUGUCAACAAAUUCAAUCCCAACUGCCUCAAACGCAGGCCCGGCAAUGAGAGCCAGUUCACUCCCAGUGAGGUUGUCCAGUGGUCUAACCACCGAGUCAUGGAAUGGUUGAGGUCUGUGGACCUUGCAGAGUAUGCCCCAAACCUGAGGGGCAGCGGCGUGCAUGGAGGGCUGAUAAUGCUGGAGCCUCGGUUUAACUCUGAUAGCCUGGCCAUGCUGCUGAACAUCCCUCCUCAGAAAACUCUGCUGAGGCGCCACUUAACCACCAACUUCAACAACCUAGUAGGAUCACAGGCUCAGCAGGAGAAGAGGGAGUACACUGAGGCGACAGGAUACUCCCCACUCAGCAUCACCGCUAAAGUCAAGCCAAAGAAGUUGGGCUUCUCUAACUUGACUCACCUCAGGAGGAGACGGCCGGAUGAAUCUACAGACUAUGUCUGCCCCAUCGAGUCCUCCUCGCCUCAGUCGGGACAGUCUGCAGUGAACGGGGUGCAGAUGCGGCCCUACACAGGCUUCAGAGGCCUGAGCCCCAUCCUAGACCGAGAGCCCGACCGCUCCAGGGACCAGGUGGGGCUAGAAGACAGCAGAGCCGACCCAUCUCCAUGGCAACAACUGUAACACCAACAGCACGGAUGACUGUUGUCAUCCUGUCUAUUAGCCAUUCAGCUAUCUCUGCUACUACUCUGCUUCCUUUGCUUGCAGCCCAUAAUACCUCAGUCCAUCCCCUGAUGUGCUUUUUUAAGCCCCGCCCAUCAGCCCGACCCUGUGCCUUACAUUUAGAGAUUGUUUCUCAGUCAGCUGCCUGUCACACUGCAGGGAGUCCUGAGACGAGCACAAUUCAAGUAUUUUGAUUUCAGCUCCGGUCAGAUGCCUAACUAACCCAACCUCAGCCUCAAACCUGUGCCAUGACUCUAACUCAUCACCAGAGAACACAGCCUCUCUCUGGAUUCCUGUGACAUCACUUCCUGUAAUCCAUACAGCAUAUACAGACAUGUCUUCUUGUACAGUAUUAAGCCAACAUUUGUGCACCACCAGUAGAUUAUUUUUUAUGUGUGACCUUUGAUUUUUCUAACCAGGUUGAAUGCAGUUCUGUUACAUGGUCGAGAUGAACUUGUGCAAUAUUUACAUAAAAUAAUGGAGGGAUUUUAUUUAUAUCAUUGCAGAGAAAAUCAUAAAAUAGCAUGUUUUGUUUGAAACUUGAGGUGGUGAUUUUUGUACCGUUAUUUUUCAUAUUUGACUGUAAUAGUAUUUUUAUAGCAAAGAAAGGAAGCUAACGUGUGGUUUAUCAAAUCAUUUAAUAAACAAAAUCCGACAUGAGCAAAGUUGAUUCAUUCUUUCUGAUGAUCAGAGUAGAAGCAGAUGUGUAAAAUGUUCAGUGUCCUUUAUUUAUUUAUUUUUUAGUUGUACAUCAUUAUAGGGGCCUGUACUGGACAUUUUCAGUGUUUCCCACAGAGGUAGAUUGCACAUGCAAAAGGAGGAACAUCCAUGCUGUCUUAAAUUAUAAGAGCUAUAAAUUGUUGCCAUUAAAGUCAAUUUCUCAUUCUAUGUAAGGACUCAAAAUUUACCACAUGUAGUGACUCCAGCUCUUGUUCUGCUCUGUAACAUCAUCAGUUCACAAAGUGAUAUUUGGCAUUUCUGGCUUGCUGCAUAUAACCGCAGUAAGUUCAGGUUAGUAACCGGAACCAGCUGUCCCUCUGCUUCAAGUUCCAGUUGACAGCAGUUUUCCAGUGAAGAACAGGGAUUACCUUUACCAGCAGUCCAAGGUGGUGGAGUUGGAAUCUGUUCACCGGGGGAAGAAGAGACUGACUGGAGAAUAGCUCAUUGACAUCAAGAUAGCAGCAACAAUGACCCGGCCACCCUGCCGAUGUCAAAGCAUGCUGCUUGUUAAUGUGGUGGAACUCUCAAACUAAGAGUUAGGCGACUUUAUGUGGAAAACACUGAAUUCCUCAGGAAGCAUAUUCUGUAUUUCUGUAAGAUAAAGUAACAGACUAUGCUGCUAGGCGCAGCCACGAGCAGCAGCAUGCCUUAAUAACCUGCAUCAAGCACUAACCUGCUUCCAUCAUCAUCAUCAUCAUCUCCAUUCUCACCAUCACAGUGGCUGUCAUUGCUGUUUAUGACGCCACGUUUCCCCCCUUCGGCUGAGCGGUCUGAGCCAAGAUGGCUGAUGAUCAUCACCAUGGUAACCCUGUUAAAGGUGACAUGGGAAGUGCAUGUUUGACUAUGACUCAGCUGCAGAUGGCGAUCACAGAGGGUACCAUUUUGCAAAUAGAAGCUCUUUCUGAAAGCAUCAACAACCUCACAGUAAGCGCCAACACACACAAGCUGCUGCCUAAUGACUUGUGCAGCUGAUUCGCUCACUGGGAAUCUGCUUGUAGUCUGCUGUAAGAGAAGUUUGAGUCACUCAGAUGGAAAACUGCAGAUACUCAGAUGGGAAUGCCAUUAAAACACCACGUCUUGUGUCUGUGUACAAAUUAAAACAAUGCUGCUAGUGUGAAACCUGCUCGCUGGUACUUGCUUCUUUAUUACUUGCGGCUAUCAUCCAGAUGCCAGGCUUGGUUCUUUAGCAUUUGUUCUGUUUGUUCAAGUCAAGAAAAUCAUGGUAGUAACUAAAGUCUGAGAUGAUUGAGAACAAGUUUGCAGCUUCAGUACAUCAGUGAAGAUCUUGGUAAAAAAAUAAAUUUGAGCGUUACUCAUAUAUUUUUAUUAUUUGAAGUUAAAUUUUAAGUCCAAGAAUCUGCAAGAGUUACAUCAGAACAAGGAAGGGCGAAUUUAAACCUCAGAUUUAUUAUUUGAAAUAAUCACAGUAAUUAGCAUCAACAAGCUUUCACAGCAGACCUUUUAAGAUGUCAUAGCAUGAAAAGCACAGUCUGAUUACAAACAUUAAUAAUGUUCAUAUUUACUAAGGUGAGUUAGUGUCACACAUUCAAGGUUGCCAUGUCUGAGGAUUUCCUACAGAACUGGGUUAGAUUCAUGUUCAUGUUGGGCAGCCCUGUUUUUAAAUCGUAUUGAAGUUGCCUUCCGGGUAGCUGUUUCAAGCCUCUGUGCAAAGCUAAACUAAGAGGCUAUCAGCUGUAUCUUUAUCUUAAUAGCUGAGGAGAGCUUCAAUUAGCUUUAGAGGGGCUGGUCUGUACUUGCCCCUCUUUCCAACUGCAACUGUUCAUUUUAUAAAUUCCACCUGUGCUUCUCCUUUGUGACAUGUCAUAAAACAAUCUCACAUCGGAUCGGAUGUUCUCAUUUCAGUAAAGUAUACUGACCCCAGCUCAGAAGCAAACACUAACUUCUAAUCUUUCUAACCCAUUGCCACUCCCAUGAUGCUCUGCCCCCAGUAUCUGCUCAGCCGAGAUGAGCUGCGGAAGGAGAUGAGGCGUUCACAGACGGCGCUAGUUUGAAGGACGAUGACCUGUAGUGACCUGUCUCACAGCUGAAUUGUACCUCAGCUCUCAAGCUAACACUGCAGCGUGGAGCUCCUUACAUUUACUUCUACUAGCCCCUGAUACCUCAAGUUAACUCCUGCACACAUAAGUACAGAGGACUGGGAAAUACAAACGGACCUACAUAUUUUGACAACAAUCAAAGGUCUUAUUUUUAUUUUCUAGUGUGCUGAAUUGAACUGUUAUUUAUACACUUUUUUUGUUACUGCUUUCCUUAAUUCCCUAUGCAAUGUAGCUUUUAAUGAGCAUACUGACCACUGUGUACUGUAAAUACUGUGUUGGUAUUUCAUUAGGGAGGACUGUGCAAAGCAAUGAACAUGCAGUUUAGAAUGGACAAACUGGACAUUCCAUCAAAAAUGGUGUUGAAGCCAUUUUUAAGAGCAGAGCAGCUAAAGAAGAAGAAGCUGAAACAUUCCUCAACAUUGUCAUUCUAUUGUUGUGCAGAGAAAGAUGCUACAUAUCAUAUGUUGAAAUAAAGAAGUUACAAGAA